AAAUUGAAGAGUUUGAUCAUGGCUCAGAUUGAACGCUGGCGGCAGGCCUAACACAUGCAAGUCGAGCGGUAGCACAGAGAGCUUGCUCUCGGGUGACGAGCGGCGGACGGGUGAGUAAUGUCUGGGAAACUGCCUGAUGGAGGGGGAUAACUACUGGAAACGGUAGCUAAUACCGCAUAACGUCGCAAGACCAAAGUGGGGGACCUUCGGGCCUCAUGCCAUCAGAUGUGCCCAGAUGGGAUUAGCUAGUAGGUGGGGUAAUGGCUCACCUAGGCGACGAUCCCUAGCUGGUCUGAGAGGAUGACCAGCCACACUGGAACUGAGACACGGUCCAGACUCCUACGGGAGGCAGCAGUGGGGAAUAUUGCACAAUGGGCGCAAGCCUGAUGCAGCCAUGCCGCGUGUGUGAAGAAGGCCUUCGGGUUGUAAAGCACUUUCAGCGGGGAGGAAGGCGGUGAGGUUAAUAACCUCAUCGAUUGACGUUACCCGCAGAAGAAGCACCGGCUAACUCCGUGCCAGCAGCCGCGGUAAUACGGAGGGUGCAAGCGUUAAUCGGAAUUACUGGGCGUAAAGCGCACGCAGGCGGUCUGUCAAGUCGGAUGUGAAAUCCCCGGGCUCAACCUGGGAACUGCAUUCGAAACUGGCAGGCUAGAGUCUUGUAGAGGGGGGUAGAAUUCCAGGUGUAGCGGUGAAAUGCGUAGAGAUCUGGAGGAAUACCGGUGGCGAAGGCGGCCCCCUGGACAAAGACUGACGCUCAGGUGCGAAAGCGUGGGGAGCAAACAGGAUUAGAUACCCUGGUAGUCCACGCCGUAAACGAUGUCGAUUUGGAGGUUGUGCCCUUGAGGCGUGGCUUCCGGAGCUAACGCGUUAAAUCGACCGCCUGGGGAGUACGGCCGCAAGGUUAAAACUCAAAUGAAUUGACGGGGGCCCGCACAAGCGGUGGAGCAUGUGGUUUAAUUCGAUGCAACGCGAAGAACCUUACCUGGUCUUGACAUCCACAGAACUUAGCAGAGAUGCUUUGGUGCCUUCGGGAACUGUGAGACAGGUGCUGCAUGGCUGUCGUCAGCUCGUGUUGUGAAAUGUUGGGUUAAGUCCCGCAACGAGCGCAACCCUUAUCCUUUGUUGCCAGCGGUUCGGCCGGGAACUCAAAGGAGACUGCCAGUGAUAAACUGGAGGAAGGUGGGGAUGACGUCAAGUCAUCAUGGCCCUUACGACCAGGGCUACACACGUGCUACAAUGGCAUAUACAAAGAGAAGCGACCUCGCGAGAGCAAGCGGACCUCAUAAAGUAUGUCGUAGUCCGGAUUGGAGUCUGCAACUCGACUCCAUGAAGUCGGAAUCGCUAGUAAUCGUAGAUCAGAAUGCUACGGUGAAUACGUUCCCGGGCCUUGUACACACCGCCCGUCACACCAUGGGAGUGGGUUGCAAAAGAAGUAGGUAGCUUAACCUUCGGGAGGGCGCUUACCACUUUGUGAUUCAUGACUGGGGUGAAGUCGUAACAAGGUAACCGUAGGGGAACCUGCGGUUGGAUCACCUCCUUACCUUAAAGAA
rnacentral:rRNA from 1 species